ACACACAGACACUCACUCACUCACACACACACACAGACACUCACUCACUCACUCACUCACACACUCACUCACUCACUCACUCACUCACUCACACACACACAGACACUCACUCACUCACACACACACACAGACACAGACACUCACUCACUCACACACACACACAGACACUCACUCACUCACUCACACACUCACUCACACACUCACUCACUCACUCACUCACACACACACAGACACUCACUCACUCACACACACACACAGACACUCACUCACUCACUCACACACACACACAGACACACACACAGACACACACACACACAGACACACACACACUCACUCACUCACUCACACACACACACACAGACACUCACUCACUCACUCACACACACACAGACACUCACUCACUCACUCACACACACACAGACACUCACUCACUCACUCUCACACACACACAGACACUCACUCACUCACACACUCACACACACACACACACACACACACACUCACUCACUCACUCACACACACACACACACAGACACUCACUCACUCACUCACUCACUCACACACACACAGACACUCACUCACUCACUCACACACACACAGACACUCACUCACUCACUCACUCACACACACACAGACACUCACUCACUCACUCACUCACACACACACAGACACUCACUCACUCACUCACUCACACACACACAGACACUCACUCACUCACUCUCACACACACACAGACACUCACUCACUCACUCACACACUCACACACACACACAGACACACACACACUCACUCACUCACUCACACACACAGACACUCACACUCACACACACACAGACACUCACUCACUCACACACACACAGACACUCACUCACUCACUCACACACACACACACACACACACACUUCCUGUUGCACACAGCUGUGAAGCUGGACCCAGUGUUGAUCUGCUAAUUGACUCUUGUUCCCAUGGAAACAACAACAAACAGCUGUUUAACUUCACAAAGACGACGUGUU
rnacentral:lncRNA from 1 species